UACGAAGGUCCCAAGCGUUGUUCGGAAUUACUGAGCGUAAAGGGCUCGUAGGUGGCCAACUAAGUCAGACGUGAAAUCCCUCGGCUUAACCGGGGAACUGCGUCUGAUACUGGAUGGCUUGAGAUUGGGAGAGGGAUGCGGAAUUCCAGGUGUAGCGGUGAAAUGCGUAGAUAUCUGGAGGAACACCGGUGGCGAAGGCGGCAUCCUGGACCAACACUGACACUGAGGAGCGAAAGCCAGGGGAGCAAACGGG
rnacentral:rRNA from 1 species